rnacentral:rRNA from 1 species
AACGAACGCUGGCGGCAUGCCUAACACAUGCAAGUCGAACGAAGUCUUCGGACUUAGUGGCGCACGGGUGCGUAACGCGUGGGAAUCUGCCCUUGGGUACGGAAUAACUCAGAGAAAUUUGUGCUAAUACCGUAUAAUGUCUUCGGACCAAAGAUUUAUCGCCCAAGGAUGAGCCCGCGUAAGAUUAGCUAGUUGGUGGGGUAAAAGCCUACCAAGGCGACGAUCUUUAGCUGGUCUGAGAGGAUGAUCAGCCACACUGGGACUGAGACACGGCCCAGACGACUGCGGGAUGCAGCAGUGGGGGAUGGUGGACAAGGGGCGAAGGGCUGAAAAAGUACUGUCGCGUGAGUGAUUAAGGCCGUAGGGGGGGAAAGCUCUUUUGCCAGGGCCGAUAAUGACGGGGCCUGGAGAAUAAGCAACGGCAAACUCUGUA